UCCCUUAGUAACUGCGAGUGAAGAGGGAAAAGCUCAAAUUUAAAAUCUGGCAGUGUUUCACUGUCCGAGUUGUAACCUAGAGAAGUGUAACCUGCGCUGGACCGUGUAUAAGUCUCCUGGAAUGGAGCAUCACUGAGGGUGAGAAUCCCGUCUUUGACACGGACCACCAGUGCAUUGUGGUUGUGCUCUCAACGAGUCGAGUUGUUUGGGAAUGCAGCUCUAAAUGGGUGGUAAAUUCCAUCUAAAGCUAAAUAUUGGCGAGAGACCGAUAGCGAACAAGUACCGUGAGGGAAAGAUGAAAAGAACUUUGGAAAGAGAGUUAAACAGUAUGUGAAAUUGUUGAAAGGGAAACGUUUGAAGUCAGUCGCGUCGGUUGGGGAUCAGCCUGACAUUGUUGGGUGUACUUCCUGGUUGACGGGCCAACGUCAGUUUUGAUUGCCAGAAAAAGGCCAAAGGAAUGUGGCACCUUUGGGUGUGUUAUAGCCCUUGGUCGUAUAUGGUGGUUGGGACUGAGGAAAGCAGCGUGCCGAAAGGCCGGGUUUCGACCACGUUCACGCUGAGGAUGUUGGCAUAAUGGCUUUAAGCGACCCGUCUUGAAACACGGACCAAGGAGUCUAACAUGCAUGCGAGUGUUUGGGUGGAAAACCCUUACGCGUAAUGAAAGUGAAAGUUGAGAUCCCUGUCGUGGGGAGCAUCGACGCCCGGACCAGAACUUUUGGGACGGAUCUGCGGUAGAGCACGUAUGUUGGGACCCGAAAGAUGGUGAACUAUGCCUGAAUAGGGUGAAGCCAGAGGAAACUCUGGUGGAGGCUCGUAGCGAUCUGACGUGCAAAUCGAUCGUCAAAUUUGGGUAUAGGGGCGAAAGACUAAUCGAACCAUCUAGUAGCUGGUUCCUGCCGAAGUU
rnacentral:rRNA from 1 species